CUCCUCCUUUGGGCUGUGGACCAGGUCUGGUUGGACUCCAGCACUGUUGCUGUGACCGCCUGCCAGCCAUGCUCGACAAAGUGCCGGACCAGGGGUAUGAGUAUGUUAGCUGAGGAGGAGUAUGUCGUGAUCAGAGGGAGCAUUGGGGAUGGAUCUCGUGGCCUAGGAUGCAGGAAGGAUCUCCUGCACGACCUGAGAAAAGACCUCGAGUAGCCCCGUUUACCAAGGACCUUGAAAAGGAUUCCCACUGCCUCCUCGAAAUCUGCGUGUUGGGUGCAUAUUCUGUGGAAUCUAAGGAGCUGUGAUUUAAUUAGACCGGCGUAGGUGUGUUUGGGGUGGAAACUGGUUUUAUAAAGUAGUGCGUGUGUGUCUGUGGGUUUAAAGUAAACUUUGAUGUCCAA